rnacentral:lncRNA from 1 species
CCUGUUCUAACUGGCCAGCCGCCAUCUUGCAACAUGGAGGAUAGAUUGCAAGUGGAGCCAAGAACAAAAUACAGCUGACUCUGAACAAAUCCUUUUCGUGACUUCUGGAUAAAGGACAACUCAAGCCCCUCGUUCCAGUGGCAGUGGAUUGAUGUGCAGCUUCCUAUGUGAAGGCAGAGCACACGUCUGUCUCUGGAGCUUCCUAGAGUUGGUUCUAAAUGCAAUCACAAGGAUCCUUACAAAACAGACACAUGGAGAAGACAGAUACAGAGAAGGCAAUGUGAACACAGAACAGAAAGAGAUGUGGUUACGAGCCAAGGAAUGCUGACAGCCACACACAUUGGAAGAGCUUUAUUAAUGGAAGAGAAGAAGCACUAUGGAGAAGAUAAAAAGUUUGUGUUGCUAGGAAAUGACACCCUAAGGACAGAUUAUGGCUAAGAAGAGAAAACUAAAGGGAGAAGACUUAGCAGUGGGAUCCAUUUAAUGAAGAACCAAAUAGUCUUGACUCAAAAGGCCUUGUGAAAAUUCCUGCGUAAAAUCUGACAACCGCAAAUUACCCAAAAAGAUUUCUAACUUGGAAUCACUAAGGACAAAAACUCCUAUAUUCCUGAAGCCCUACAAGCUGGAACUGGACAACUCGAUGUAAAUUUCAGGAGACAACCCCCAUGCCUGAUGUGUGGGCCACUAAGGGAGUUUACCAAAACAUCCAAUGCCAUAACCAGAGACAUUCAAACUAAACCAAGAAAAUGUUUCAAGCUCAAAUCCAGAAAUCUUGUCAACUAACUGCCCUCUGAACUCAGAGACUGAGUUUAUAAUUUGUCCUAAGCCAUUAACCUUUGUUAAUAGCUUUUUUUUGUUUUGUUUAUUUUUUCUGGUUUGGUUCAUGAGGGCAUUUGUUAAGAAGCAUACUCUAAUCCCUUGGUAUAUCCUCCUGAUAGUUCCCAUUGUAAUCUCCCAGCUGCAUUCUCUCAAGGGUUUUGAAGGUGUAUUUGCAGCGAUUAGUGGUAUACUAGGUGGCCUCACUGUGAUUACUGCAACAACUGCAAGAUGACCAAAGGAAUGUGUCUUCCACAAGGCUGACAUUGUGACUUAUGAGUUUCAUGCUAAGACAAAGACAACCCUGCCAUGAUGAUGACUGACAGUAGUGCUGAUGCCAUAAAUUUUUAUCAAAUCCCUCAGUACAGGUUGAGUCUGAUCAAAAGGGGAAAGCUGUUCAGUAAAAUAUGUGGGAGGUCAUUGUUUUGGAUUAAGCUCCUGCACUAGGCCCCAACAGACCAGAUCAAACCAGAAUGGAGUCACUCAUGCCAGAUGCCACAUUGUCAAACUGAAUGUAAAAAUAGGUCACUUGUUCAAAAAAAAAAGGAGAUUCACAGUAACCAAUUGAAAGGGGCCCAGUCAACCUAAGCUCACAUGAUAAGGAAGUCUCCUCUAGUUUAACGUAUGCAAGGAAAGUAGCUUUGAAAUCACCAGUCCACUUUUUGUUUCUUCUUUCUGCUUUCUUCAGUCUUUUCCAUUAUAAAGCCCACACAUCUGCUCAGCUCAGUAGGGCACCUUUCUAUUUCAUAGAUGGAAUGUCACUUGAUUCAUGAAUCAUUAAUAAAAGCCAAUUUGAUGUUUAAAA